UACGGAGGAUGCAAGCGUUAUCCGGAUUCAUUGGGUUUAAAGGGUGCGCAGGCGGGGGAAGUAAGUCAGUGGUGAAAAGACUGCCGCUCAACGGUAGUCUUGCCAAUGAUACUGUUAGACUUGAAUAUGGAUGAGGUAGGCGGAAUGUGUAGUGUAGCGGUGAAAUGCAUAGAUAUUACACAGAACACCGAUUGCGAAGGCAGCUUACUAAAUCCAUCAUUGACUCUGAGGCACGAAAGACGUGGGGAGUCAAA
rnacentral:rRNA from 1 species